rnacentral:rRNA from 1 species
GGCGACCGGCAAACGGGUGCGGAACACGUACAGAACCUUCCUUUCAGCGGGGAAUAGCCCGGGGAAACCCGGAUUAAUACCCCAUAGUAUGGUGGAGAGGCAUCUCUCUAUUAUUAAAGAUUUAUCACUGAAAGAUGGCUGUGCGGCUGAUUAGAUAGUUGGCGGGGUAACGGCCCACCAAGUCUGCGAUCAGUAACUGGUGUGAGAGCACGACCAGUCACACGGGCACUGAGACACGGGCCCGACUCCUACGGGAGGCAGCAGUAAGGAAUAUUGGUCAAUGGACGCAAGUCUGAACCAGCCAUGCCGCGUGGAGGAUGAAGGUCCUCUGGAUUGUAAACUUCUUUUAUAUGGGACGAAAAAGGGUCUUUCCAGAUCAACUGACGGUACCAUAUGAAUAAGCACCGGCUAACUCCGUGCCAGCAGCCGCGGUAAUACGGAGGGUGCAAGCGUUAUCCGGAUUCACUGGGUUUAAAGGGAGCGUAGGUGGGUUGGUAAGUCAGUGGUGAAAUCCCCGAGCUUAACUUGGGAACUGCCA